rnacentral:rRNA from 1 species
UACGGGGGGAGCAAGCGUUGUUCGGAUUUACUGGGCGUAAAGGGCGCGUAGGCGGUCAGCACAAGUCAGUUGUGAAAUCUCCGGGCUUAACUCGGAAAGGUCAACUGAUACUGUGCGACUAGAGUGCAGAAGGGGCAACUGGAAUUCUCGGUGUAGCGGUGAAAUGCGUAGAUAUCGAGAGGAACACCUGCGGCGAAGGCGGGUUCUGGGCUGACACUGACGCUGAUGCGCGAAAGCGUGGGGAGCAAACGGG